rnacentral:rRNA from 1 species
CCUACGGGCGGCAGCAGUGAGGAAUAUUGGUCAAUGGGCGGAAGCCUGAACCAGCCAAGUAGCGUGCAGGAUGACGGCCCUACGGGUUGUAAACUGCUUUUAUACGGGAAUAACGCGCCUUACGUGUAGGGCUUUGCACGUACCGUAUGAUUAAGGACCGGCCAAUCCCGCGCCAGCAGCCGCGGUAAUACGGAAGGUCCGGGCGUUAUCCGGAUUUAUUGGGUUUAAAGGGAGCGUAGGCCGCAUGUCAAGCGUGCUGCGAAAUGUCCGGGCUCAACCCGGGCCUUGCAGCGCGAACUGGCGGGCUUGAGUCCGCGGGAGGCAGGCGGAAUUCGUCGUGUAGCGGUGAAAUGCUUAGAUAUGACGAAGAACCCCGAUUGCGAAGGCAGCUUGCUGCAGCGGAACUGACGCUGAUGCUCGAAAGCGCGGGUAUCGAACAGGAUUAGAUACCCGAGUAGUC